rnacentral:rRNA from 1 species
GCAUGCCUAACACAUGCAAGUCGAACGAAGGCUUCGGCCUUAGUGGCGCACGGGUGCGUAACGCGUGGGAAUCUGCCCUUAGGUUCGGAAUAACAGCUGGAAACGGCUGCUAAUACCGGAUGAUGACGAAAGUCCAAAGAUUUAUCGCCUGAGGAUGAGCCCGCGUUGGAUUAGGUAGUUGGUGGGGUAAAGGCCUACCAAGCCGACGAUCCAUAGCUGGUCUGAGAGGAUGAUCAGCCACACUGGGACUGAGACACGGCCCAGACUCCUACGGGAGGCAGCAGUGGGGAAUAUUGGACAAUGGGCGAAAGCCUGAUCCAGCAAUGCCGCGUGAGUGAUGAAGGCCCUAGGGUUGUAAAGCUCUUUUACCCGGGAAGAUAAUGACUGUACCGGGAGAAUAAGCCCCGGCUAACUCCGUGCCAGCAGCCGCGGUAAUACGGAGGGGGCUAGCGUUGUUCGGAAUUACUGGGCGUAAAGCGCACGUAGGCGGCUUUGUAAGCCAGAGGUGAAAGCCUGGAGCUCAACUCCAGAACUGCCUUUGAGACUGCAUCGCUUGAAUCCAGGAGAGGUCAGUGGAAUUCCGAGUGUAGAGGUGAAAUUCGUAGAUAUUCGGAAGAACACCAGUGGCGAAGGCGGCUGACUGGACUGGUAUUGACGCUGAGGUGCGAAAGCGUGGGGAGCAAACAGG